rnacentral:rRNA from 1 species
AUGUAUCUUCGGAUUGUGGUUACCUUGCCCCGUAAUCUCUGUUACUAUGCAAUGUCAAAGGCAGGAGUGCCAAUAAGGUAUUGGUCGGGCUCCAUGGGGCAGCACAACCUUAUCCACAUGUGCACAAAGAGCAGGGACAGUCGGAGCAGCAAAAUCGUGAGGUGGAUGGGACGCGAGGACUUGUGGAACAUGCUGGUUUACACUUCGUCCAUUCCAGUCCCGGCAGAUUUCAGCGAGUUGCUUCGGGAACAAAUGUUGCAAAGUGUGGGCGUCAGCACAGAGAGCCCAGAUCACAUCCAGAACUCACGGGGCCAGGCGGCGCUGAAGAGGAUGGGUAUAUCGCAAGAGGAACUGCUCAGCUGGAACGUGGACAUCGAGCUGGAUGAGAGCAUCCUCGUGUGUACCUCAGCUGGCACGAUGUGA